UUCAAUUCCUAAUCAAAGGAAAAGGGACCCUCCCCUUUGAGCAAAAAACCAGCCGCACACCCACCUCUCUCUUCACUCUCACCUUCUCAAAUCUGCUUCAUCUCCAACGCCAGCGACCCUCAUCUCCGGCCAUCACUCCCAACGAGAUCGGCCUCCACCCCUAACAUCUAAAACGAUAGAACAUAACCGGAUCCCUCGCAUUAACCUUUCCAAAGCUGCCGCAUUCUCAGAAACAGAAUAAAGUCUACCAAAAAGAGAAAUUAAAGGUUGUUCCUAAGGUUGUUGUGCUUCUGUUGAGCUCCGAGUUUUCCAGAUUUUUCGGCGAGUCCGUAGGAAGUUGAUCUGAAGAAUCACAAAUGGGGUCACUAUUUCAUUUGCGGUGUGCAUUUAGUGGAACUGUGCGCAGCUGGCCAAUGUUUUGCUAUGAAUGCAAUGGAUAAGAGCAUAAUGCUUAAUCGAAACAAGACCAAAACCCAUAUUUGUCUAAUAAUUGAUUACUACCCUGGGGGAGAGCUAUUCUUGCUUCUAGACAGACAAUCAACAAAGGUGUUGAAGGAAGACGCUGCAAGGUAGUAUUGCAAAGGUUGCCUCAAUGGAAGAAGUGAGUAGAUGUAUAAAUUGAACAGCUAACGCAGAACAGAAGAAUAUACAUCUACUACUUUGAACAGAGUAUAAAUCACUUAAAACUAGAAUGCUUCAGUAGCUAGAGAAAUAUGUAUUUUAUUCAUUCACUAAAUGACAACAUAGUUUGGUCAAUCACUGGUAUUGUUUAUUUGUUUGGUUUCAAUUAGUUUGUGUUGAUGUUGUUUUGGUUUAAGUACUUUGAGAGACAUGUUAUUUAGUUUAUAAGCUUGUUUGGAUGGUUUGAUAGCCAUGUUGUUGUAUUCCAAAUUGAUAUUCCACUAAUGGUAUUGCUUCUAAUUGGUAGUA